rnacentral:rRNA from 1 species
ACAAUGGCAGGUACAGAGGGAUGCUACCGGGCGACCGGAUGCGGAUCUCGAAAGCCUGUCCCAGUUCGGACUGGAGUCUGCAACCCGACUCCACGAAGUUGGAUUCGCUAGUAAUCGCGCAUCAGCCAUGGCGUGGUGAAUACGUUCCCGGGCCUUGUACACACCGCCCGUCAAGCCAUGGGAGCCGGGGGUACCUGAAGUGCGUAACCGCGAGGAUCGCCCUAGGGUAAAACUGGUGACUGGGGCUAAGUCGUAACAAGGUAUC